UACGAAGGGGGCUAGCGUUGCUCGGAAUGACUGGGCGUAAAGGGCGCGUAGGCGGAUGGCACAGUCAGAUGUGAAAUUCCCGGGCUUAACCUGGGGGCUGCAUUUGAUACGUGUGAUCUAGAGUGAGGAAGAGGGUCGUGGAAUUCCCAGUGUAGAGGUGAAAUGCGUAGAGAUCCGGAGGAACACCUGUGGCGAAGGCGGCCCCCUGGGCCGCACCUGACGCUGAGACGCGAAAGCGUGGGGAGCGAACAGG
rnacentral:rRNA from 1 species